GACGGACGCUGGCGGCGUGCCUAAUACAUGCAAGUCGAGCGCAGGAAAUCGGCGGAACCCUUCGGGGGGAAGUCGACGGAAUGAGCGGCGGACGGGUGAGUAACACGUAAAGAACCUGCCCUCAGGUCUGGGAUAACCACGAGAAAUCGGGGCUAAUACCGGAUGGGUCAUCGGACCGCAUGGUCCGAGGAUGAAAGGCGCUCCGGCGUCGCCUGGGGAUGGCUUUGCGGUGCAUUAGCUAGUUGGUGGGGUAAUGGCCCACCAAGGCGACGAUGCAUAGCCGAACUGAGAGGGGGAUCGGCCACACUGGGACUGAGACACGGCCCAGACUCCUACGGGAGGCAGCAGUAGGGAAUCUUCCACAAUGGACGAAAGUCUGAUGGAGCAACGCCGCGUGAACGAUGAAGGCCUUCGGGUCGUAAAGUUCUGUUGUAAGGGAAGAACAAGUGCCGCAGGCAAUGGCGGCACCUUGACGGUACCUUGCGAGAAAGCCACGGCUAACUACGUGCCAGCCGCCGCGGUAACAC
rnacentral:rRNA from 1 species